UUAAUAUUGUAUACGUAUUACCAUCAAUAAAAAAAAAGUGAUGUUUGAUCAUAAAAAUAGUAGGGAUGGAAAGUUUAAAAUCUAGAAAUACACACCCUGGAUACUAUAAUAUAACACUGUGCAUAAUAUAUAAAAUGGCAAUUUCCAUGGUCUCAUUUGCUAAAAAACACAAACCGCCCAUACAACAUUGUUCAUAUUAAAAUUCAACCCAAUUUGUAUCACAUAUCAAUCACUAAAUCCCGAUUUUUAACCUUUUUCAAAUUAUAAUGAGAAAAUGAUAAAUAUAUAAAAAAAAAACACCAUUCUAUACUUUUUGGGACA